rnacentral:rRNA from 1 species
CCUACGGGUGGCUGCAGUGGGGAAUAUUGGACAAUGGGCGAAAGCCUGAUCCAGCAACGCCGCGUGAGGGAUGACGGCCUUCGGGUUGUAAACCUCUUUCAGUAUCGACGAAGCGCCCUUUUCGGGUGGUGACGGUAGAUACAGAAGAAGGACCGGCCAACUACGUGCCAGCAGCCGCGGUAAUACGUAGGGUCCGAGCGUUGUCCGGAAUUAUUGGGCGUAAAGGGCUCGUAGGCGGUUUGUCGCGUCGGGAGUGAAAUCUUACAGCUUAACUG